CUAAAAACUCACUAAAAUUUCAAAUAUAUUACACAAAAAUACAUGAAACUAACAAAAUACAAUAAAAAAGCCACCCCAAAACAAAAAGAAAAAAGAAAAUAAAAACCCAAAUUACGAAACGACCCUCAUGAUUUAAUCAAGAAUACAUGAUGGCGCUAAAUUAGAAGAGAAGAGCAAAAGCAAGAGCAACAAACGAAGCGAAGAAGGUGGGGACAAAGAUGGUGGCGUCGGAUGCCGGAGAAGGUGCCGGAGCAUCAGCGGCGGCGACGCCCUUCACGGCGGAGAUAGCCAUCAUCAUCAUGACGACAGCAACAACAAACAUCUUCGUGUUAAUGCCCUCCAUUUUCUUGUAGAAAUUUGGGAAUGUGAGUAAAUGAGAGACUCUGAAAUUCCUCUUUGAGAGCAAAAUGCUGAAAAAAGCAAAUGCAAAGAGGAACCGCAGAGACAGUG
rnacentral:lncRNA from 1 species